rnacentral:lncRNA from 1 species
UUUUUGCCUAAAAAACAUUAAGAUGGAGGUGAAAACAGUGCCAGUGGGUCACUUUUAAAGUUUGAAGAUUUCGCUUGUGUGUACAUAUGCGCGUAUGCACUCUCCCUCUCUCUCUCUCACUUGAAUAAUGGAAUAUUUGGCAGCCCUGGACUUCCAGCCCCAUCCUCAUCUCUAGCUCCUCCAUGGAAAUAGUGAUCUGGCCACUGGCAUCUACGCACUGGCAUCUACUAUCCCACAUGGCAUCUACCUGUCAGCUCCGCCCCAUCCCCUCAUUUAUGGCAGGUGUGCCUGACUGACUUCAUGCACUUACAUUACCUGCUUCAUCUCUGUAGACAUUUGAGUUUGCAAGCUCUGUCUUGGAUGUCAGAGCUGAAGGAGGAGCCCAAAGCUUCUCAUUCCUGGCUUCACAUCUUGGGAGUUAAAAAAAAAAAAAAAAAUCUCUCUAGGAGUUCCCAUCAUGGCUCAGUGGAAACGAACCUGACUAGUACCCUUGCUCAGUGGGUUAAGGCUCCAGCAUUGCUGUGAGUUGUGUUGUAGGUCACAAACGUGGCUCGGAACCUGUGUUGCUGUGACUCUGGUGUAGGCUGGCUGCUGCAGCUCCGAUUUGAUCCCCAGCCUGGGAACUUCCAUAUGCCACAGGUGCAGCCCUAGAAAAAAGAAAAAAAAAAAUCCCUCCGGAGGUUCUAGUUUAAUUUUCUGGGCAUAGGACAUGGCAAAAUCUCCACAGGGGCUUCUGAUUUGCGGUCCAGAUGGAGAACAUUGAUCCCGUGCGGUCCCUCAUUUUGCAACUCAGGCAGUGGAGACUUGGAGAGGGAAAGUGAGUUGUCCAAAGACACAAGGCUAUCAUUGAAGAAGCUAGAAUUAAAACCAGGUGUCUUAACCUGUCCUGGAGUACUUCCCUCUGCCUCACGCUGUCUUCUCUAAGUUUGUGCAAGGAAGGGUGAAGUAGCAAAUAGUCUGGUCAAAACACCAGACUUGGAUUUAUUUCUGAGUUUGUCCAGUGAUGAUCAUUUAGUGCUUCUGAUUAACCUACCUCCUAAUAGUGCCUUUUCUUCCUUUGGUUUUAUAACUGAGAUUGCAUGGGUUCCUGGGAAUAAACGGGAGAAGGGAAAGGAGACCAAGCGUGCAUUCAGGAGCUUCUACAAGCCAAAAUUGUCCUAGGGGCUUUGCCAUGGUUGUUUAAUUGAUUUUCUCAAGAACCCUAGAAGGUUAGUAUUGCAUUUCAGGUUAGUAGUAAGAGGAUUAGUAGUUGCAUUUCAAAAUGAUGAGACAGACUCAGGUGGGUUUGAUCAGGUGUCCAGGGUCGCACAGCAGAUACGUGAUUUGUGCUCAGUUCAUAGCUUUCCAAAGCUGACAUUCAAAGUCUACAAGAAUGUACAUUCCUUGGGCAGAAGUUUAAAAAAACCUGUUUUCUCCUUGAUUUCUUUCUAUAUGCCUACAACACAGAUGACACAUAGCAGGCACUCGAUAAAAAUUGGUAGGAUCUGUGAGUUAAUACUGUUGAACUCUGUGGACCUUAAGCCUUGAGGGCUAGAGAUGUUUUGAAUUCAAUAAAAUGUAAAACAUCAAAGAAAAAUCUGCUUCUUUUGAAUCUUGGAACCCAGCAGCUUUCAGAACAUCUGCAAAGGAGCAGCGGGUAUUUAAAACACCUCCUCUGAGUUCCCUAAUGCCAGGUGUUGCAGAAAACUGACAGCUGUGUCUUAAGCGUAUCAGAAAGAGGGUGUGUAUGCACUGCUGUUACAUUAUUUGGGGUAUUUUUUUAAAGGUUGUAGUUAAGGAGAGAAAAGACCAUUAGUUUCUCAUAGAUUGUUCGGGCACACUGAGCCCACACUAAGAUGUGCUGGUGAGAAGAGAUGACCAGGAGUUUGGGAAGUUCAGGGAGGCACGUUGGGUCUCAUUGCCCUGGACCUGAGCUAAUCUGCUUGCUAACCAGUACCUCUCCUUUCCUUGUGUUCCACAGCACAGCAGCUUGCUUAGAAAUGCAGCCUCCUCAACUCUGCCUCUGCAGAACUUGGCCCAUAGCUUCUGCAGAAAUGCCUGUUGUGUGAAAUGAUGAUUGUGUUCCUAUAGACAUGGUAUCAAGGUCUAAAUCCCACGUAUUGCCAUCUCUAUGGUCUUCCUCCAAGAAUUACCUCUGGUUCCUUUUGGAUGGAGGCAGGGUGUAAUUAAUUUUCAUUGCUUUCGUAGUUUACAAUAUUCUGGUCACACUUACCUCCUAUUAGCCUCUCAGUGGUCAUCUGAGAUGUUACCAUCAUGUUGUAGGGAAUCAAAAAACUCAGAGAGGUUGAGGAAUCUUCCCGAAGAUACACAGCCAGGGAGUGGUAGCAGGAAGUUGCAAAUCCUCUGUAUGGAGCUCCGAGAGGGGGACUCGUUAACCAAAGGGUUAACCUUUGACCCUUGACUAUUCCUGGGAAGUAGCCUCUAAGUCCUUGGAAUGUCCUCUGUUUACUUGAGGUCUUGAGCCACACCAGGUGGUCUAUGCUAUCAGUGUGAUUUAUGCUAGGAUUCAGGCCAUGGGGGAUGCCGGUGUGACCUGUCGGAGAGGCUGAAGACUAAGGUCAGCCACGUGGGCAGCCAACAUGUCUAUGUGGCCAACUCCUAGUAAAAUUCUUAAGACACCAAGCCUUGAAUGAGCUUCCUGGGUAGGCUGUGUGUGUAUUCCACGUAUUGGUUCUGGGAGAAAGUUCUGUCCAUGGUUCCCCUGGGAGGGGACAACCAGAGGCCUGUGCCUGGAACUCUCCUGGACCCCACCCUAUGGGCUUCUUCCUGUUCCUGAUUUUAAUCUGUGUCCUUUUGCUGUCAUCAACCAUAACCUGAGUGUAAGAGCUUUGUUGAGUUCCGUCAAUCCUUCCAGUGAACUCCCAAGUGCUCCCAGGUCCUCUCUGCAUCACUGGGGCGUGGGUCAACCAGAAGGACUAAUGGUGGGUCAUCAUGAUGGAAGCUCUGGGUUCAAUUUCCCUGGCCUUGGCCCUCAUCUCCUCCUCCUUCUCGCUUUGGGCCUCUCACUAGGUAGGGCCAGGACCAGGGGAGGCAAGUGAGGCAUUUUGGUCCCAGAUCAGUCUUUGUUUCAAAUGCCUUGUAUAAUAAGAAUUAGCGUUCUGUUUUCCCUCAUGCUCAGCCUCUUCCAACAGAACGUAAACACUUAUCAGAGCCAGCUGUUUCUUUGAAUGGCUCCUACCCACAAAGUGUUCUCCAUCUUUUUAGGAGAGGGUAAGUAAUGGACUAAAGACACAGGAAAGAUAUUUAUGUUUUAGGUCUAAGGGGUGUGGACUCUGAUAGAAGAAGGGUAGUUUCACAGGACUGGCAUGGAUCAUCCAUCCUUUCUAAGGAAACUUGACUCUGCCUAUAACUGAGAUACCUGGAUUUCCUCCAGGAAGUGAAUUCCUUGGCCACCUGUCAGCUACCUCCUGUCCAGUGAUAUUAUAGUCUGUAACCUUACAUGGGAUAUCUAAAAUCUAGAGAUGCUGAAGACAGGACUAUCUAGUAUUCCCAUGGCCUGGAGGAUGGGAUGACAUUUGGAAUCCUUCUUGGUCAGAACCAGGACAGUGGUUCCUAACCCUGGCUGCAUGUUAGCAUCCCUGGGAAGUUGUUAUUGUUUUUGUCCAUGCUCUCAGCAUGCAGAACUUUCCAAGCCAGGGAUGGAACUGGGUCAUAGCAGCUACCCAAGUUGCUACAGUGACAAUGCUGGAUCCUUAACCUGCUGUGCCACAAGAGAACUCCCCCUAGGAGAUUUUGAAAAGGCCUGUUGCUCAGAUCCACCCUUGGAAGUUCUGAUUUAAUACUCUCAGUUGGUACUGGCAUGAUAGUUCCCUUAAGCUUCCUUCCUGGGGUUCUAAUUGCACCAGCAUUUUUAACAACAUCCUACAGCUUUGGUGCCCUCCCCCAGACGUUGCACCUUUUCCUGUCUGCAAAGCAUUUGCCUCUGUUGUUCCCACCAACCAGGUAUGUUCUUCCUUCCUUGUUAGCCUGCUGAGUACCAGUUCACUCUUUAUAGCCUGACUCAAGUGUGACCUUUCUGUAUAUCUCUAGGCAGCCUGACGCCAGACAGAGGUGAUUGCUGCCUUAUUUGUGUUCUUAUAACAUUUUAUGGACAUUACCUAUUAUGAUACCUACAGAAAAUUACAGGCUUUCUGUUUAUCAGUUUGUUCAUUUAAGGGUGGAGACAUUGUUUUCCUCACCUUUGUUUUCCCAACCUGAUAGUCAGCACUGGAUACAGGAGAAGCAUUUACUGAAUAUUUAGUUGUAUUAAAUUGAGGUACUCAAAACAGCUAUCAUGUCAUUGAGGCUGAAACAUCCAUUCUUUAUGAUGCUGGUCUCUUUGUUUUGCUGUUACAGUUGCUGCUCUGCAUUUCAACGUGCCUCAUUUGUGCAACCACUGUUCUCCCACUUGAAUGUUGAAGUAGUUUGCUAAUUGCAGGAUUGCUCUUGGUCACAGUGUGCUGUUUCUUGAUGUGCCAGUCACAAUUUAAAACCAAGACUGCAAGGGCUGUAUUUAGUGAGCUGGAGAAAGUCUGAGUUUACAUGAAUGUUGAAAUGUGUCUGGGGACUCCAUAGGUAUAAAUGAAAACCCAGAAGAGAUAUUCUGUCUUGUAGUCCAUUCUAAGGUCACAUGUCUUUCAAUUUUUAAUUAAGGAUGAAUCCAUCAUCUAAUUGUAAUGUCUUUCUCUCUCUCUUUUUUUUUUUUUCUUGUUUGUAGCAAGUCUCUAUGACAGUGUUGUACCACGGAGAUGGAUGGAUACUAAUGAACCGAGUAGGCCAGAAGGUGGGAGAGGCCAUCCGUAGGAAUCAGCAGGCACACACUUAAUGGUCAUGCUGCUGCUCAGGUCAUGGCCUAAGUGGUGUAAGUGGUGUUCAUUCUGAUUGCUCAUGGCCUGGAAAUUUUUGGUUGCAAGCAUUUUCACUCUUAGUUUUGUCAACAGCAUUUUGGGGGAUCCAUGAGACACAUGAGAUUAGGAGCGAAUUGUUAAUCAACGAAGUUCCUAAGCUCCUCCCUCUGGGACUCCUAAGAAAGGUUUACUGACAAAUUUAGGUCUGUUAGAGUCUAGAUCAGGCAGGCAACAGUCAAUGGGUGGCCCAUGGCUUCUUGGAGGGCAUGAAGAUAAGUGAUUAUAAUGUAAAGAAUGGAGGUAAGGCCAAUGCUGGUCAUAUCUGAAAGAUGAUUAUUGUAUGAGCAGGUCUUUUAGUUAACAUUCUCUUUUUCUGCUAUAAUGCAGUCAAGCCAAAUGAAAGCUCUUUCUCUCUUUGGUACCUCUGAGUAUAAGCAGAUAACCAUGUCAAGUUAAGCUGAUGUGGACUUUCUUAUUACUCUGUCAUCCUCAAAAGCUAACUUCUACCUCAUGGUGUAAUAUGGCUGCUUUAGCUCCACCAUCACAUCUACAUUCCAGCCAAUGGGAAAUAGACAAGAGAAAGGCAGACUAUGCUUACUGUAUGUUAAGGGACUUACUCAGAAGUUACCACUCAGCACUUAAACGCACAUACUGUUGACCAGAAUAUAGUCAAUGGCUAUACCUAGCUUCAAGGAAAACUGGGAAAUGAACUCUUUAUCUAGAUGGCCAUGUGCCCAGCUAAAAUCUUUUUCAAGUGAAGAGCAGAAUAGAUACUGGAAAAAUAGCAAGCCAUGUUUGUCUCAUAGGAGACAUUUUUUCCCCAUCUACUGUUCAAAGUUUGCAAAAUACAGUGAAAUUUCAAAAGUUUUGGGAGGAUGAAUUUUGAGGAUGUAUCUCAAUGUUUUAAGUGCAGUCUCGAAGCAAGGACUCAUGGUUGUGGUUAAACAUAUUAGCAUUUGCAGGUUGCCUAGAAAAUAUCAGUCCCUAAAAACAUAUCCUGUUUAAUGGAUGUGUCAAACAUUGUUUAAUGCUAAUUUAACUUCUUAAUAUAAUACCUUAGUGAGAUUGUUUGCCCAAUAUUCCCAAGAGUCCUAGGAUAUCAGUGUGUGUGUGUGUGUGUGUGUGUGUGGAGGGUGCAAACUUAGAAAUUUCCAUAAAAUUAUUUACUUGGAAGAAGACUUAAAAUUUGCACGAAUGGAGGUGCUUUCUGUAUCAUUAAGUUUCUAUUUUGAAAAAAGGCAUCAUGAUUUCAUGUGUGUAUAUAAAUUGUGGGUGUGCGUGUGCAUGUGCAUAUCCUUAAUAUGAUCCUUAGUAUAGUCGUGUGAUAUAGUUGGAGAAAGUACCAUUUUAUAGAGAUGCGGUGAUUAGAUCCUGGGCCUGGAGCUUGAGCCUGAUGCAACAAUCAGUAAAACUGCUUGGAGUAAGGAGCUGUCUCAGGAGAGGAUGAAGCUACUUUUUCUGAGGGAGGAAUGUAAACAUGUUCAGUUAGGGACAGGACUGUUUUCACAACAGUCUGCACAUUCUUUGGCAACCUUUUCCUCAUUGAGGUGGAUCCUGAUUCCCUUCUUGGAUAUAGGCUGGCCUUAGGGACUCCAUUCCUGUGACGACAAUGUGCGAGCAGUGACCCUCCAUGUCUUCCAAUGUUAGGUCAUAGAAGCUAUGUAGUUUCCCACUGGCUGUCUCUGGGGACUCUUGCUCUCAGCCAAGCUGCCGUCUUGUGAGGAAGUCCAGGCCCCAUGGUGAGAC